rnacentral:sRNA from 5 species
CGAGCGAUCAUAAGGGAGCUGAUUGCAAAUCUGCCGUCAUCGACUUCAAGGUUCGACUCGAGCAAUAGUGAGAGAACGUUGCCGCAGGCAACGGCCCGAAGGGUGAGGAGCUUUAGCUCCGAAUAAUCCUUCCCGCUAUAG